GUGAUUUUUCUUCAGGUACUGCUACAGCGCACAUGAAAUGUCCUCUCCUAGAGAAUGUUCGAGAAUGGGGUUCGAAUGACACUACUAAAACUCACAGUUCACUCUUCUUCAUGCUCCAUUUUCAACCAGUGGCCUCUUUCUCCAACAGCUGAUUCCGGAUCGGAUCAUUAUGUUUCCUGUGAUUUGCUGAUCUAGUGUUUGUUUUUAGUUAUAAAAUCGUAUGUUCAAUGCAAUAGAAGUGCACUGCUUAGUAUUCCUGAGGGACUGUGCCAAUAGGUAAAGCCUCCGGAAAAGGUGCCCAUGGCUGGGCGUAGGACAGGAGGAAAUGAAGGAGUUAGCGUAGCCCAGCGCAGGAAGAUGAUAGAUGAGAGAAGAAUGCCAUGUAAGCUGCUUUUGAAAACCAGUUGCUUAUCCUUUGAACUCCUCUCCUAUUUUAUUGAGAAUAACCAAAUAUAACACAUUACACGAAAGGAUGCAUUCCGGAACCGACACGUCAUUUACAUCACUUCCUGGUACCUUAGUGACACGUUGCUGAUAUGCAAGUAAAAAUCAUGCCUCCAUUUUUUUUUCUUAAAAUAGUUGGAAUCAGGCAAGCCUGGAUUCCCCUCUCCCAAAUUGUAUUUCAUCCUAAAGCCUCUAGAAAAUAUAGUUUUGGAGAGAGAUUUUCUCACACAGGAGGCAAGUGAAUUUGACGUGAUGGAUCCUCCUAAAACGGUUUCCUGCUUCAUUUCAACACAACAGAUAAUUUAUUAUACACCUUAGUCUUCUCUUAGUGGAAAAAAAAAAAGUCCCCAAAGACUAACUUUAAUUUCACAGCGGGAUGGUCAUGGAGAUACUGCCUUACUGUACAUACAGAUUCUACUUUACUACAGACCCGUUUAUGCUAGGUUGUCUCAAGAGCCAUUUCUACAUCUACUAAAAACUGGAUGAUGAAUAAGGACCAGAAAGAACACACAGUUAGUCACUGAUGAAAAACCAACAAAACCAGAGAGCAGAUUUGUUUCCUAACCAUAAAUCACCUGUUGCCCAAAGUCAUGAUGAUGUUAUCUCUCACAGUUUGAUUUGCCCAAUUCCACGUAGAAAUAAGUUUUUUCCUUAUUUGAUUUUAGACAUCAAAUAUAUUAUGGUAUGGGAAAAGUCAAUCAUAUAUCAUAACUAAUCUUGUUUCAAUUUUUAAAAUUUAUUUCUACAUGUACUUAAUAUAAUGAUGAUUUUUUUUCUUUUUAGCCUUAAAGAAUUAUAGAUGAUAAUCAUCCAAUUUAUCCUGCAUUUUUAAUUCUGUAAAUCUUUGGUUAUUGAACCUUGUGCUUUCUGUUUUCCGUGGAUUUACUCCUUUGUCUCUUUCCAUUUUGAGGAGACAACAUGGACAGUUACAUCUUUGUCAAUCGUAUGGGAGAUUAUGCUAAUUGCUGUUACCCUAACAUCUUCAUCUUUUUUGCACGCCAAAAACAAUGCUUGUCAAACAAAAUCGUAGACGUCCCAGUACAAUGCGGUCAUUAUAUUUCUAUUCAUGUUAUUGAAAAUUCCCAGCUCAGUGCCUGGCUCAAUAAAUGUUUAUUUCCCUUGCCUA